GUUUGCACUGGCCUGUGACUCAGCCUGUCCAGGUCCCUCUGGAUGGCAUCCCUGCACCAACAGUGGAUGUCUGUCUUUGAGAAGUAUCACCUUCCAUCCCUUCAGCAGCCAAAUUUUGGCAGAGGUGUGGGGCCACGAGCAGGGCAGGGUAGAUGGAGCCAGGAAACCUCUGUCAGAAGAGAUUAGUGCCAAAAUGCACUUUGGUUCAGCUUCUGAAAAGCAUUCAGCAACAUUUUUCCUUCUUCAGCCACCACCAGAGAUGCCUUCAAAGCCACUGCUCGAACGCUAACACUGUAGGCACCCAACUUCCUGCUGCUGGGCAAAUGCAAAGCAAAAAAGUCCUACUGAAAAGAGGUACUUACUUCCCUAACCUCACCCCAAGCCUGAGGGCAGAUAUCUUACCUCAGGUGCUGCUUAUUCUGGCAGUGAGCCCUUGCCCUGGGAUGGACAGAGAUACUGAUUUCUCUCACUCCAGACUAGCUCUCAAGGUGACAGUGCUCAUGGAGAUCUGGGGUAUCAAGAACCAAAUCCCUGCUCUUCCAACAGAGUAUUUUGGGGUGGAGCAAUCUCAAACUGCUAUUCAUGCACCAUACAUAAUGACUGAAUAUUCACUGGCGGAGAAACAGUCCCUGAUUUGAAGCACUGAUUUAACUCAAACCUCGCCCCCCAGAUCAGGCACAUCACUGGACAACAGAAUACAUGGUAUCUCCUGUUGAUUUUUUUUCAGGUUCUAUAAAAUAUGCCCAGGCUAGAGCUUUUAUGACUUUAGGUAGAAGAAAAAUGUGAAUACGAACUUUCCCAAGUUCAGGGAGUGUUCAUACCAUGGGGUGCAAGAGCAGGUGACCUCUCCUGGCCCCUGCGGGGGUCUGUGUGGGGCAGGCUGCCUGCUGCUCUGAUGGGUCCCUGCAAGCCAUGCAGCCAGCAAGUUAUGCGCGGGUUUCAGGCAUGGGGCAACCUUGAGCUGUCAGAAGUUGAGCAGAGAAAUGCAAGUGCCUGUGGUAUCUGACAGUCAUUAAACCCAGGUUUAAUGAAAAAUCUGCAUGCUACACAGAGUGAACCGCCUUUGUCCAAGUGCUUUGUGUCAAAACCCGCCCCCCCAACUCCUCAAAACCCUGGGCUGGAAGGAGACAGACACAAGCUCGACUUCCAGCCAGUGAUCCACUAGGAGGAGCAGGAGGGCAGCGGGUUGCACGCCGAUUACUGGGAUGGCUGUCGGCCACCUAUUGAUUAAGGGACAGGAGUCAGACCGAGAGUGGUCAAGGAAGGGAUAAACUGACUCACCCAGAGCUUGUUGCCGCUGCUUUAUCUGCACUAGCUUUUGGUUUCUACAGUACACUCGAGUCCUGAGCUACUUCUAGGCCUUACUGCAAAGCAAAUAAUAGAGUCCACCCAAAUCUACUUGGUCUUGCCACCAUUGCACUGGACACUGCUGUGCUCACACACCCUUCAGCCAGCUUGAAGUUCACCUAGAAUAUUUUCUUUGUACCUGUGUAACACCUUCUUCAAAUCCUUUAAUGACUUCUUGCCUGCCAAUCUUGAACCUGAAAGGCUUGUUUCUGUCUCUGGAGGAAUCAAACUUCUUUCCAUUCUGUAGCAUUCCUGCCAAAACAAGACACACAGUUUCAACCUGAGCUACAUGUAAAUUUAAGUGCUGGGGGGGGGGGAAGGAAGGAGUGAAAAAUUAAUGUCUUGGUCACAUCAGCGGCUCAUUUCCAUUUUCAGUUUGAAGCCUCAUCCAGAAUGGAUAAGGCAGGAGGAGAGCCAAACACAAAUAUGGUACCAAAAGGUACCAUAUUGUUACCUUUGCCUUCUGGUAAUUUAGGUUCUAAAAUGGAAAUAUAUUCUUCUUAUUAUUCUUAAUGCAAUCGGUUAUAACUCAUAUAGUACCAAACAUUAUACAGACACACUGAAGAGCUGUUGCUUGCACAGUGGAGCUUCCUGGCCCAGCAGAUAAAAGCAGGCAAGGAGCAAGUGGGAAGCAGCCGAAGAGAGAAUCUCAACACAGGGGCCUGAUCCAGGCCUGCUCCUAAACAUAAAAAAGCUCCCUAAAACCAGCCUACAAAGAAACCAAAUUUAACAUAAAUACGACUAGGCUUACUCCUCAUUAAAUACUUCUAUUUUAAGGUAUUUUUAACAGUGCAACUAACUAAAGAGAAUAGUUGUUGUGGAAAACAUGUUGAGUGACCAAGGAGACUUUGGCUAUAUGUGGCCCAAAGCUCACUGCAGCCAGCAGGAGCUUUCCACACGCUUCCACAGGUUCAGACGUAGAUUCAGGUUUGGGAACUCCUGAACCAGAUUUGCUGCUAGUUAAAUGUCUGCAAGUACAGAGCAGCUCCUUUGACUUGUUCCUGCAAAUUUAAGGUCUCCUGGGAGACCUUAGAGCAGCUUCCAGUACCCACAGGGGCAUACAAGAAAGCUGGAGAUGGACUUUUUACAAGGGCAUGUAGUGACAGGACAAGGGUGAAUGGUUUUAAACUGACAGAGAGGAGAUAGAGAUUAGGUAUUAGGAAAAAAUUCUUACUGUGAGGGUGCUGAGGCACUGGCACAGGGUGCCCAGAGAAGCUGUGGCUGCCUCAUCCCUGGCAGUGUUCAAGGCCAGGUUGGACGGGGCUUGGAGCAACCUGGUCUAGUGGAAGGUGUCCCUGCCCAUGACAGGGGGGUAGAACUGGAUGAGUUUUAAGGUCCCUUCCAACCCAAACCAUUCUGUGACUCUAUGAUUUAUACCAGAAUACCUAGUAGGAAUAUUUGGUAACUUGGGCAGUUUACCUUCCCUAUUUGAUUCACUCAGUAGUACUAAGAGUAACAUGCAUUACACAAACGUGGCCAUUCCACAACAUGCAUGUGAAAUGUCUAUAUAACAUUACAACUCCUCCUCAUACAGAAAGAACAGAAAAGCCUCUGCAUUUAAAAAUAUUAAAAUAGCAAAGACACUUAUAUGAAUAGUAGUACCCUCAUUCAUUGUAUUUUCAUUCAGUCACAAGAGAGUCAGGGAACACCUUACUCAUUCCUUUGGAUGGGCACAACACUGUUUCAGCCCAUGUAUUAUGAACACAUAGAUUCUACAGCAAGUGGAUAAACCUUCACAGAGAGCUACACUAUCAGGUAUUCUCAUUCUCUUUUCAAACAGUGGAUAAUUAUGGUAGCUUUCCACUUAAAAGUACCUGAUAAACUGCUCUUUCAAAAUGCUGUACUUCGGCUAUUGUAAGGUUUGGCUGAUAUUUAUAUAUUAGAAUAAAUGGUCUCUUUGUAAUGCUGUAGUGCCAGUGUUUUGGGCAUAUACCGUGACUUUCCUGUGCAAGGUCCUGUACAAAGGGAAGUUCAUUAAUAACCAAAUAUCCCAGAAAGUUUCUGGUUGAAAACAACGUUAUCAAGCACAGCUUUGACAGAAAAUGCUGAGAAAUCCUGCCUUUAUGAUCCAGUAUAAAAAAUAUAGUCUUACUAGUUUCUUUUCAUUAAAGCAGUUGUAUCAACAGAUCAGCUUGAUGCACAGGUUUUAUUUUUCAGUGAAAACCAUCAGUUAUUAUCGAAACAACAAAAAAGGCAUACUCUGCUUGCUUAAAAGUCUGUGUUACGAAUCAAAGGUAAUUAUAAAGAGACAUGCCAGAAUAAAAAAUAAAGACUAAAAGGGUAUGAUUCAUCUUACCAACCUUUAUGCUUCUAAGAUGUAGCCAGCUACUUUUGAGCUAAUUACUUUGCUUCACUCUAUAAUCAAGUCAGAGAAAAAUGUACUUUCAGGGGGCAAUUCAUCUAACCAAAUCUAGGCCAUAAUGAACUGCAUCCUAGCAGUUCCUCUUUCUUUCCAAUGAAUAUAAGGGAAGUCCAAACAACUAGCUCAGACAUGGAUGUCUCCAAAUCCAUUAGUAGCUAAAUCAGUGGUGGUGGCAUUCUGGCCUUGCAGUAAUGAGGACACAAUAUUUGAUCAGUUCAGUGGGAUUCUGUGUCUAGAUGUUUUACAUCAAUAAUAAAACCAAAUGACAGAUUAAGGCAAAUUAUCUGUUGACAAAGUCCAACUUUUGUCAAAGUCGGCACUUCAGAGAUGUGUCUGUGUGUGCACACGAGACCUUAGGAGGAAAAUUAUGGAAUAACCUGCCUAUAAGGCAUGUUUCGUAACCUUCACUAUUGGCACUUGUCAUAUUCCUUGAGUUUUCCACAGUAUAUUAGCGAAGUACUUUAUUUAUGCUCCAAUGCAUGUACAUACACACAUUAUGCAAUGUAUUAACUCAAUGAUGUCCCUAAACCCCCUCCAUACAGGCUGGGAAGUCACAUCAGCUGCCUGCACAGGCUUUCUAGUUACAGACAAACAUGGGUUCAUUUGUGAGGUAGAAAACCAGCCUGCAUGCAGAGGAGGGCUGGCAGGGAGAAGCAGCUCAGGGGGAACUCUCAGGCAUAUCGCAUAAUCCUUUUUGAAGUAUUUGAUCUUAAAUUUAAACGGCAGUCCUUCCUCACAGCGAUUUUAUUUUUAAACACAUCAUAAAACCUUAUGAUUCUAUGAAAGGGAAGGAGACUAUUACAGAAUCCCAAUAUUUAAUAGUUUUAAUAUUAAAAACUUAGUACUGUCAUUACAGUCUGCAUGUUCAAAGCAGUAUGCAAACAUUAAUUAUUCCUCACAGCAGCCCAGGGAGGUAGAAGAAGAUAUUUAUUAUAAAAUAGCCUCAGUCUGGAAGUUCAGAUUCAGAUGCAAAGUUCCACAACACUUUAAUAUGCUUUCAUUUCAUUUUGUAACUAAAUCCUAUUAAAAUACUUAGCUUAAAGGUCUGGUGGUUUACUAAAUACCACACAUCAAACCAGCAGCAGAACCAUAAUUAACUAUUCAGAGAUCCUGACAACAGCUACUGGACAAUGUUUCCCAUUUAAAAUAAUGUUUCUAGCUGACCAUGAGCUUGCUAGUCUAAUAUACAUCAUAUAAAAACUGCCUUCCAUUUCACUAUCGAAAGCCUAUACAAGGUGUGUUAGGCCUAUAGAAGAAAACGGGCUGCUUCUCCUAUGUUUACAGCAAUAUCCUAUUUUCAGCAAUGGCUGAAAAUUCAUCAGGUGUGAAUUCAGAGAUGUUACCUCUGUGAUCAUCCCACCUUACUGCUUUUGGAGGACAAACUGGCAUUCAAAGACUCAGAUGUGUCCUUAAUCACUGAAGCUCCGGCAGGAGGGUCAGUUUUUAUAUGACUGCCCUUUAAAUGCACAUCUAGUUUAGAAAUGAGUCAGAGUCCCCAUGUGCUCUGGAGAAGUUCCGAUCCGGAUUUAGAUCUGAACUUUAGAUCUUUUUUCUCUGUCUAUUUCUGAAAGUUAGAGUUGACUGUUCAGGCUCCUGGGAGCUAAAACAGCAUAAUGUUUUGUUUUAUUUCUUGCUAAUGCAUCAAUUGAUUUUUCUUUUUGGUAAAAAAAUUGAUUUGGUUAAUAUUCUGCAAUAAGGAUGGAUGCCCAUCUUCAGCCCGCUAGCACCUUUAUUUAUCUAGCUAACAACAAGGAUUAAGAAACCCACAAUCUGGAACUGAAUGAUGACAUUGCUUUGCAAAGUCACAGCAAUCAAUAAGAGCUUUGAGCAAGGACAUCUAGAUGCCUAUAUGCUUACUCGUUAUAAUAACCUUACGUUUGAUUCUGAAAGGGAACAAUCAUUGUAUUAAAAUUAUUCAUUGCACAAACUUUUUCAAAUCCUCACAAAAUUGAGUUUGUGUAAUUAGUAAUUUUCUAAAAUUAAUUUUAAAAAUCAGGUGGCUGUAAAAAAGGAGGUGUUUCAGAUCAUGGGUCCUGCUGAAUCAUUGUAGUUCAGCUCAUUGAAGCUGAAGAUUAAAGAGAAGACAAAUCAUUUUGUUAAGGAACAUGAGUAGGGAUCCAUCUAAACUGCCAAAAAUACAAUGUCAUUUGGGCUAAACCAGCAGUGAAAACACAACUUCAGUCUAGGUUUAACACAAGCUAUUAUUUCUUACUAAAACACAGGUGUGUCUGCAUUACUCUUUUAACAUGAAUUAACUAACUCAGGUCAGUCAACCCCAGCUAAGCCUGUUUCCUAAUGGGAGAGAGCUAACACCACUGUCUGUACUUGCCUAAUAACUUUGGAAUCUUUUAGCCAAUUUCAAGCGAGUUUGACAGAGCAGUAGGGUUCCUACUGACAUAAAGAUCUUGUGCAUGUAAUGAAAAUAAAUCUGCGUAGGAAGAAGAUCCUGUAAGUGCUUCUACCAAGAGAAAGGCUUGAUCUUGAUUUGUUAUCAGAGAACCUAUAUUAUUGAGAAGAGGUCAGGAAUGGAAAGACAUGAACGCUGCAGUGGGAUAACAGUCUCUUUUUACCACAGGGUUCCUUCAUCAGAGAACGAUUCAGCAACCAACCACAUAACACAAAUCCACAGAGCCAGCCCAGCUAUUUAGGACACCUAACUUACACCUAUGGUCCUCCCCCCAAAAAAUCAUGCUCCAACCAUUAGCUAUACAAAAGAUGGAUGGAAAGAGGGAAUACCAAAGGCCCUCCAUAGAUUUUUCAUCAAGCUUACAAGCCCAAAUUUGGAAAACAUAUGUGUAAAAUUCCACUGCUAAUGUUAGCCACUGCAAAGGUAGAAACUGUGUCUCAACCUGUCAUCUCUAGGCUAUACCUACAAUUCAUGGAGAAAGAGAGGUAUCUCCAAGAAUAAUUCAUCCCACAUAGAUUUAGAUGUUAGGACUAACCUCCUGGAAUCGUUCAUCAUUCUCAGCCAACUAACAUACGAAAGUUAAAAAAGUUAACAACAUUCAUUUUAAAUGCUAGACUGCCAGCUUUUUAUAGGGCCCUAGCGAGGAGGUAUUAACUUAUCCAUCCCUACCUAAGUGAAGUAGAUCAGGCUCCACUGGCUCCAGUCUUUACUGAAUUAUUUGUCUUUACAGUGUUGACACAUUCUGGGAAUCAGAAGAUGGAGAUCCUAAUCCAGGACAAAUCCCUUGAUUUCACUAGUCACUCUUCUUUUAUCCUGUAGAGUGGGACUCACCUCAGAAGUAUUAAGGGGAUAAAUUGAACAGGCGACUUUCAAAACACCAGCAACCAGCAAGUCUGCAAAGUAUUCCAUUAUCUAGGUACCUACAGAACUUAAAGGCAAUACAUAAGCUUGAAAAUAGCUACUUUCUGAGCAUAUGUUGGCUGCAGAAAGGGGGGCAGACAUUCAGAAGGUGUUUCUAGGACACUAUCCUGUUUCAUUUUAUGUAGACCAGAGGUUCUUCAGGACAGGGACUAUAUUUUGAUGCCUUUUAAUGCAAUCACCUUUCCAAUUAUGCCUUGUAAUAAAUCUCUGCUAUUAUAAACUUGUCAGUUUGGUUCCUAGGAUUCUUGGAGACAGCAUUUGCUGCAGGUAGAGCUGCUGUGGGUUAAGAACUUUUGAUCUCAAGUGCUUCUUUUUUUCCUUAUAAUAUAUUGUUUCUAUGUCAAAAUAUGCCAAUACUCUGCCAGGAGAAUGUCACAAAGGUUGGAAAUCCUGAUUUUUCUCUCAUUUAUAACCUAGAUGAUCUUUAAGGUCCCUUCCAACCCAAACCAUUCUGUGAUUCUACAGUUCUAUGAUCCCACACUUCUUACAUCUUCAUUUGCCAUCUCACUACCUCAAUCCACUGUUUUCUACUUCUUCAUCAUAACAACAUCUCUGAGUAAUCCAUAGUUAUACCUGGCCAUAAGCCUCCUUCCAAACAACCAUGUAGUAAGUGGCAUAUACCUCUGAUUUCCUUGAUUUGACUUCAAAAGCAAAGUCUUUUCUGGACAAAUUUGGCAUCUCAUCACUUUUACUUUUUAUCAGCUUUUCAUCAGCAAUUAUAACUGUUGUAACGGAAAUAAAGAGUGUUGAAUGUGA